rnacentral:rRNA from 1 species
GGUAAUGCCGGAUGCUCCAGUUGGAUGCAUGUCCUUCUGGGAAAGAUUCUAUCGGUAUGGGAUGGGGUCGCGUCCUAUCAGCUUGAUGGCGGGGUAACGGCCCACCAUGGCUUCGACGGGUAGCCGGCCUGAGAGGGCGACCGGCCACAUUGGGACUGAGAUACGGCCCAGACUCCUACGGGAGGCAGCAGUGGGGAAUAUUGCACAAUGGGCGCAAGCCUGAUGCAGCGACGCCGCGUGCGGGAUGACGGCCUUCGGGUUGUAAACCGCUUUUGACUGGGAGCAAGCCCUUCGGGGUGAGUGUACCUUUCGAAUAAGCACCGGCUAACUACGUGCCAGCAGCCGCGGUAAUACGUAGGGUGCAAGCGUUAUCCGGAAUUAUUGGGCGUAAAGGGCUCGUAGGCGGUUCGUCGCGUCCGGUGUGAAAGUCCAUCGCUUAACGGUGGAUCCGCGCCGGGUACGGGCGGGCUUGAGUGCGGUAGGGGAGACUGGAAUUCCCGGUGUAACGGUGGAAUGUGUAGAUAUCGG